UUUUGGUUUAAUUGGGCUCUUAAUUGUAAGCCCAAAAAGAUUUGAUUAAGUCAAUUAGUUGGCAUAAUUAUCCUAACAUUAUCCCUUUUUUAUCUCCUGAUUUUCUCUAAGUGUGCAUGUGGAAUAGAUGGAAGAUUGGGUGGUGCAUCUUUUUUUUUGAAAAAUUUUAGAUGCCAAAUCCUUAAGGGGCCCACCCCCUCUUAUGUG
rnacentral:lncRNA from 1 species